CCCCUCUUUACUUUUGUUUGACAAAACAUAUUAUGCACCUUCAAAGUGUUAAUAAUGUUGAAUAAAAUUCCCAAUAAAAUCCAUUUAACUUCCAGGUUGUAAUACUCCAAAAAUGUUUUGUUCAAUAUUCAAUGCGUUUAGUUCUUAAAACAUCAAAUCCUCUCACAUUUAUUUGGCCAUGUCUCUUUUGUUUGUUACAUUAACCAAACCUGUAUAAUCUUAUAAUAGCAAAAUAUUCCAGAUUUCUAUUUGUCUCCAAUGCAAACAAUGCAUUACCUCUAUUAGCAAAUGUAACAUUAAAGAAUAUAUAUGCAAGUUGAAGUACACUGUUCAUUCUAAUGUGCUCCAUUACCCAGAAUUCUCUGCUACCUCAGAAGUCUACUAAUUUGCACAAUGUAAUUUAUAAUCUAUUGUGAAACUUGACUGGGACAAAACGGAUACAUUCGGCAUACUGAUUCAGUAUUAAUUGGCUUUUUUAGUUUUUCUUACACAUAUAUCCCUACGAAUGUAGUUUAUGAAAGUAACACUGUGCAGUAGCAGAAAGGAGCUGUCUUUAUCAAAUAGAAACAUAGAAUGUGACGGCAGAUAAGAACCAGUCGGCCCAUCUAGUCUGUCCACUUUAUUAAAUACUCUUAUUAGUCCCUGGCAUUAUCUAAUAUCUAGGAUAGCCUAUCCCACGAAUGCCUUCACUGUGUUAACCUCUAACACUUCAGCUGGAAGGCUAUUUCAUGCAUCUACUACCCUCUCAGUAAAGUAAUACUUCCUGAUAUUUUUAAACCUUUGCCCUUCUAAUUUAAAUGAACAUGAAUGAACAUUAAAACAAUUAGAUUAUCUAGUAUCUACAUACAUAUGUUACACAAGGCAACUAAUUCACCAAUUUAAAAUUGAUAAAAUAAAAUAAAAAUACAAAUGUAACACCUUAGGAUAAAACAAACAAAGUAAAUUAAAUUUGGGAUUAGAGGGCUAAAAUUAAUUUUAAGUAUCAGCACACAAAGUUAGUCUCUGAUCUGUCUCUCCACUUCACAGCUCACAUCGAGGUGGAAUGAGGCGGUCAAGAUAUCCCAGCAUCACUGUGAUUGGCUGUCACAGAGAUCACAUGUACUGGGACCAGACCAUUUGCCAUUGCUGAUCUGCCUCAGGCAUUGAGGCACACCGUAAUAGCAUUAACCCCACGAUCGCCGCAAUCUGGCAUUAAUUUUAGUACAUGACGGAAUUAUUCAGUCAUGGGUCCUCUUGGCGCGGACUGUCAUGACGGAAUACUUCCAUCACUGGUACAUCAAGCAAUCGUAUUAUAUAGCAUGUACAUAAUUAGGCAUUUUAGGACAGUAUUAUAUUACAUGUGAGCAAAUUUACAUAUUUGUGUUUUAAGAAAUUUAAACAGAUUAUAUACAGCAGGUAGUCCUGGCAGAAAGCAUGUCUUGUUUUGUAAUAUAUACACAGUUUCAUAAUUUUAGGUCUGUGCAAAUGGUAUAAUCAUGCAUAUUAUUAAGUGAAUAGCAGCAUGUCGGCCCUCUCCAAUCUCAAUGUAAAGAGUUGUUACGUAAUACACAUUUCAUCAGGGUUUAAAGGGAUCCAACUAAAAUAUGCAGCAGGUCAAUUUGUGCAAAAAACAAAGAUCUGUCUAAUAUAAACCAACUGAAUCCCAUAGGCUAAACAACGUAUUGUUAUGGAUUGUAUUAACCCACUUUAGUCAAAGGGUUAAUGAGGCUAAAAGCAAUAAAUUAUGUGAAAUAUUAUAUGCAUACCAUCAUAGAAUGUUGACACUAUGCCAUUUACAUUAGACCACCAUAUGUUUAACAUCUUUAAAAUCUCAUUGAAUUAAUCAUAUGAACUAAGCAACCCCCUAAAUACCCUCCUGUGACAUCCCAGGUUUCAUACAAUGGAGACAGAACAUGUCCAGAUUUCUGUGUCGUUACAGCCAAUACUUUACUCAAUGUCCCAAUUAAUAGUUAUAUUGCCUAAAGUGUCCUGGCGCUGUCCCUCAAUUCAAUAUUGUACCAUUUAGGAAUGGUUUGAAAUAAAAAAUGCUUCCACAUUGAUAACAAAUUGUAAAUUUAUUACCAACCUGAAUAACACAGAUUGGAUGACAGUGCUGGGGAUGGGUUAGCGCAGCACUGUCAGAAGGUUAAUAUUGCCCAGGUCGGAAGCAUGAGACAUUGAUGAUGUGGUUGUGUUACUUUAUCAAUGCAGCCAUGAUUGGGUGGAACCAUGGGUAAUGACAAGUCUCACGAUUUGGGUCAAACCAUUCCAAAAUAGCUUGACAUUCAACCAGGGGCCAGCGCCAGGGCACUCUAGAUAACAUAACAACUACAGCACAUUGUAGUAGUUUUGUUAGAGCGGCCCUUACUGUAGUAGUUAUGGUAAAGUGCGCCUCUAAUGCUAGAUGGAAUGUAUUUCAGUGUUGGAACAUUUUAUAUGAAAAAUUAAACAUGUUAGUAAAACGUUUAGUCUAAAUAUGUUUGAUGGCUUCAGUAUUAGUUUAAAGAUUUUUUUAACCUUACUAUUCACAUAUAUGAAGAUAUCAUGUCCAUUUUAAUAUAUGCUCAUAAUAUGUGAAAUAAUUUUCACAGUUCCAUAAUCUCAGAAGCUCACUUCCUUUCGUUUUAGCAAGAUCCUGACCUUAUACAACUCUGCCACGGUGUGAAGUGUGAGAGGUAUUGGGGGGCAUUUCUUAAACAGCCACCUUGUAUUUUCCAAGUAAAAUGCCUCUUAGUUUAAUUAUGCUUCCAAAUAGCACUGAGAUACGUCCCUAGAGACAGCAUGGAUAUAGUAUGGAUAGACUAGCCUCAGGCAUUGAACAGAUGGACAACUGUUUUCAGGUUGCGUUUUUUUUUUUCUUCUAAUUAUUCUAAAUAUUCAUACCAAACUCAAAUGUAAUUCUGAAAAACAAGGGUACAUUUAAAAAGGACAUAAUUAUGCACUUACAUGGCAAUGGCCCUUGGCUUAGAGGACCACUAUCGGCACCCAGACCCCUUCAGCUCAAUGAAGUGGUCUGGGUGCCAGGUCCCCCUAAUUUUUACCCUGCAGCUGAAAACAUAGCCGUUUCAGAGAAACGGCUAUGUUUACACUGCAGGGUUAAUCCAGCCUCUAGUGGCCGUCUCUCUGACAGCCACUAGAGGCUACUACCGCAAUUUACACAGAGUAAAUUGCACUUAUUUGACGCUGGACGUCCUCACAGAGUACACCGUCAAAUAAGAUCCCCGUAGGAAAGCAUUGACUAAUGCUUUCCUAUGGGUGGGUUUGAAUGUGCGCACGCCUCUGGCCGUGCAUGAGCAUUCGGCUCCACUCGGGAGCUGACAUUGAUGGAGGAGUAAAGGUCACCAGUGCUAAAAGGAGCCCGGCGCUGGUUUAAGGUGAGCAAAUAAAUGGUUAACCAUUUAUUCAUCGCGGAACGGGGCCCUAGUCAACUAAACAGUGACUAGGGCUCUAUAGCGUUAGGAAUACAUUUUUGUAUUCCUAAUUCUAUAGUGUUCAUUUAAUUCAGAUUCUAUUUUUUCUAACCUCUUGGUAUAGGGCCUUUAGGGACAAAUUGUGAUUGGGAUAUUAAAUAUCGUUGAUCACCAAGGUGUUAAAACAUUUUUCUACUCUAUACAAGUGAAAUGUAGGAGGAACACAUUUUAAUAAAAAAAAUAUCACUUUUAAUCUUUGAGAUUGAAAGUCUGUGGACUAUGUAACUUCAGUAAAAAUAUUCCUCUCACUAUGCGACUGUUAACAGAAUGAAAAGGGUCUGUGCUGAUGCACGGGAAUCAGAAUGGAAUUUGGAAGCCAACAACCUGUAUUCGGUCCCAUAUCAGGAAAGCAACACUGACAGGUGAAUUGUUAUGCUCAGCAAGAUAUCUUUGCACUUUAUCUUUAAAUACACCAGGGCAUAUCUACAAAAAUUAUUUGUGUGAUGAAAUACUAUUGAAAACGUGUGCGAACAUUCUAUUGCAUUCCAUGAAGAUGCAUCACGUUUUGAACUUUGGGGCAAAGUUAUAAGCAUGCAGCAAUCUCUAUGGAAACAAAUGCAAUUCUCUUUCUGAUUACAGAUGAUGGCACAUUGCCAAACAGGCAUUAUAAUAAUCCUCAGUAGAGGUAAUUCAAUGGCCACCAGUAGUAUAAGCAUAUCUAUUUCAUUGAGUGUUGCUUGAUCCACAUAUCGAAGUACGUUGAGUUUUUACAUUUCGCUGGAGUUCUGCUCGUUUCUGGUAAUCUGUUUUCUCUCCGUCUGAAAAAUAAGCAAGUCAUAUUCUGAUUAGUAUAAAAAAAUUUAAAAAAAAAUUAAAAAAGAAAAUCACUGAAAAAACAAAACAUAAUGCCUAAUAAUUACAAGAAUCUACCUUACCAAAAGAAAAAUAAAUAUGGCUAUUAACAUCUAGAAUCGGACAUUAUCAGGCCAUGCUCUGAUCCAUAAAAAAUCUGCAUGUGCCUAAAAAUGCAGAAAUAUAUUUUAUGCUAAAGGACUGGAACAAGAUGGAACAACCAAACUCUAAACACAUUAAACAUAAUGGCAUACACUGAUACAAUAUGCAGUCUGAUAGAUUUCACAGUGGAAAUGUUCCAGUGUGAUGAAGGCUCCAUGAAGAAUCUUGUUUUGAUACAGUCGAGAGGAAAGCAAGUCAUCUUUUCUUUACAGGAAUAAUCUGUUUUGUACUGAGUUACAGACCCCAAAGAGUUAAAGGGACACUAUAGUCACCUGAACAACUUCAGCUUAAUGAGGUUGUUCAGGUGAGAACUAUAGCUCCCUGCAGCCUCUCAUGUAAACACUGUAUUUUCUGAGAAAAUACAGUGUUUACAUUGAAAGCUAGGAACACCUCCAGUUUCAGUCACUCAGAUUGAACCAGAGGGACUUCUGAGUUGAUGGAGGCAUAAUAUGCUUUCAUCCACUCAGAUCUGCUGUGCAUGAGCAUCCUGUGAUUCAGUAUCUCCUCCCACUGCAUGCAGACACUGAACUUUCCUCAUAGAGAUGCAUUGAUUCAAUUCAUCUCUAUGAGGAGAUGCUGAUUGGCCAGGGCUGUGUUUGAAUCAUGCUGGCUCUGCCCCUGAUCUGCCUCCUUGUCAGUCUCAGCCAAUCCUAUGGGGAGGCACUGUGAUUGGAUCAGGUUAUCACAUGUCAGCAGACUGCUUGUUUUUCCUGAGUCUAACAGUAUGCAGAUUUACAGCUUCUGGCUUGAAUACAGUAAGAUUUUUACUAUAUUUAUGGAGGCAUGAGGGGCCAAGGGGGGCUAGAAGGUCGUGUUAACACUAUAGGGUCAGGAAUGUAGUUGCACUGGUGACUAUAGUGUCCCUUUAAUGACCCCCAGCAGUGCUCCUCAAUGUGGCAAACUUAUUUAAAGGCCAACUGUCACCAAAUGUUUUAAUUAUAAGAAUCCUUGCACAAUGUAAUGAAAAUAUUUUUUUUGUGUGAAGUGUAUGUAAAAAUACCUAAAGAUCUGGCCCCUACUUCCACAAAACACUAGAUCCCUCUGCCAUAUUCAUACACUUUGGGUCAGGCUGAGAUAGAAUUCUACUGGAUGAGUUUCGGACCAUCAUAGAUUUACGCAUCUGAACCAAAGUUACAGAAUCGGUCAGACUGACUGAAUUCUGACCGACGUUGGCUUUAGUAAAUAUGAGAAUUGCCAAAGUGGCCAGAUUUCGACCACACAGAGCGAUGGCUGAUGAUAUCACCACACUGUGCAGGGAGUGAAGCAGGAGCUUAACGGUCGGAUUCUACCUCAAUCUGACUGAAGGUGUAUGAAUAUGGCAGAGGGUUCUAGUGUUCAGUGAAAGUAGUGCCAAGAUUUUAGCUAUUUUUACAUAUACUUACAGUAAUUAUAAAGAAAAUGCUAAAUCCUUUCAUUACAUGUUGCAAGGAUUCUUAUAAUAAAAAAUGUAAAAAAAAAAUUCAGGUGCCAGUUGUCCUUUAAGGGGCACAAUCGUCAGAAUCACUGAUGGAAUGUCUCAAAAAAAUACUCUACCCCAACUUGACACCUAUAGACCACCUCUUCCUCAGCCAUUUUGAUAAUUUAAAAUAUAAGUUUCUGUGUUAUCAGUAUCAAUUGUGUCCAACUUGUAUUUAAGAACAUUGGGCUACCUAUCCCCUGGUAGCAUACAUCAUGCAUUAUCACAGUGGUUGAAUAGAGGGCAGUAUAUGGGUUCUGGGAGAACCCAGAUUUUGUCAAACUAUUACUAAAUAGUUUGACCAUAAAAUAAAACAAACAGGAGAUGGUGUCCAAAGACUUAAAGCACUAUAACUACUAAAUGAGAUGUGCAGUUAUGGUGCUUAUAGUAUUCCCUGAAGCAGCAAUAAACCUACAACCUGUUUUAAUCAUUUCAUAUAUUGUCUAUAUGUAGGCUCAUUGCAUAAUAAAAAAAAUCUUCAUUUAAAUAAUUGUGGCAAAGGUAACCUCACCACUUGUACUUGGAGAGGCCUGAUUGCCAGCCUCUUGCCCCUCGACUAUGGCCCCUGGGAUGUAUUGCCCUUUAACAGCUCUAUUUGGGCUUAUUGGAUUGUAAAAUACUCUUUCGGCACUUUUAAUUAUAUUGGAGCAGUUCUACAACUUUGAAGUGGCACUUCGGAUUCAGCCGAAGUAGUCGAAAUGGCUGCCAUUCGACAAAUGAACAUGUGACGGCGGCCAUUUUAAUUCAGUUCACUGUGUUCAGCGGUGUUUCGUCAUCAAGUUCACAGAACUCAAAUCGGACAUGCAACGGCAAGAACACCCCUUAACUUUACCUUCUCCAGACUUCAACUCAUUUGACUGGAGUCGAACACCGUUCGACAAAUUGAACAGUCGGUUAACAUUGACUGUUUGCACGAACGGUUGCUGUUCGUCUAUUUGAACUGAACUUAACAUGAGAAAUAGACUGGCCGCACAGCCAAAUUCUCUGGAACGGUUUUGGGCAUGACAUCAUGCGUGCGGUCGGUCAAAAAGAUUUCCAUGGAACUUUUGAACCCCUCCUUUGAUCUGGGUGAUUUUUGGAUAUGUUGCUCACCCAGAUCAGAGCUAUCCAGCGAUAUAAUAUUUAUGGGGGUAUCUUCUGUUUUGGGGUGUUUUCUGGACUUUGGGGAAAAUGUGUGUUUUUCAACCUGUGGAUAAUUAGGUUAGUGUGUUAGCUGUUUUAAUUAUAUCAAGGGCAGAGGGGAGGGCUUGUUUCUGUAUGUGGGAGUGUCGGUCGUUACUACAGUGUUCUUAUUGGUUUGUAUUGUGUGCCUGUGUACCAUUGGUCCAGGGGGUGUGCCUCUGGCCUGAAAAACUGUAUAAAUUGUGAGUGCUUGCUGCCACUAAACAGACCUGCUUUAGCCCUUCAUGAAGUCUUGGCUCAUGUUUGGAGGAUUGGAGAACUACCCUCUUGGGGAUUGCUAUAAUCACACUAUACUCCCCAGAGUAAGCUCUUGUAAGAGCUUGUUCCUGCUGCGUUCUCUGGAGAAAGAUAGGUCUGCCCACUGGAAGCUGGAUCCUGGCCUUGGGUCCAGGGUGGGUGGAGGACGGCGAGACCCCGGCACAGCUGCAUCGCUGGAAGUGGGGUCUGCAGUGCUGAUGGUGUCGGUUGGAGUGCUUGGAGUCCUUGGAAAGCACUAGGAGCAACGAUUGACGGAGGUACUCGGUCAGAGUGCCAGGUGGUCCGUCACAAUAAUUAAUAGUGCAGAGUUCAAUUGCCAUUCGCAAAUUAGAAAUUACAAAGAAUGUCUGAGAAUCAUAGAAGCUGAGCACAGCAGAUGGAGCAGAAAAGGUUAUGCAUUACAGAGGAAGAGAAAGAAGUAAAAUGUUUCUAAGUCAAAUCAUGCAUUCUAAGUGACCGGUGAGUUCCACUGCAUAAUAAGUGUUACAUCUCUAUAAUUUUUGUACAAACUGAAAUUUUUACAUUGUAAGGUAAAUACAGAUCUAGUUGCCGUCUUCCUGACAGCCACUAGAGGCGCUUUUGCUGCACUAACAGAAGCUCCUAGGAAAGCAUUGCAUUUUAAGCUUCACUCUGUGAAGCGUUUGGAUGCUUGCGUGACACAAAUCAGUUUCCAAUGCUCCUCUACAAGGCAUACCACCAGUGCAGCGGUAAAGGCAAGGAAAUUUUUUUGUGUGUGUUUUUACUGGAAACAGGAGACAAAUAAUGCACUAUGACUAUAGUAUUAGGAAUACAGGUUUGUAUUCCUAACACUAAAGUGUUCCUUUAAUCAACUUUUACCAAAUUCAUAUCAAUAGCAAAACUAUCAUCACCAUGAAAUAGAGAAUUCGGUUACUAUUGAUUACUAUUGACACUUUUUGUGAUCGAAAAUAAAGUUAAGGCUAACCAAGAAAAGCCAGAUAAUUUCUAAUGGACACUGAGCAGAUGAGUAAUCUGUUAAAUAGUAACUGAUGCAUUAGCAGCAUCCAUGGACAUAUGGUUUCAUGGAAAUGAGAGCGUUCGUUACAGAACCGAGAUGGCUAGCAUUGAAAAUGCAGAUGUUUGUGAUGCAAAUGUCACAUGAUGCUCAGUGAGCUUCAUGGUAAAUGUAUCUCAAACAUCAGCAGUGCCACGAUUAACCAUCAAUGUUCUAUAACUGGAACAUGUUGCCAUUGUGGAAUUUUUCUAAUCUCUAAUUUAUUGAUUAAACAGCAAAAGACAGUAAAUAGAAAAUUCCAUUGCAAAAAAACUAUGCAGUUACAUCAAGCAUUUUUUUUUUAACUGUGUAUUGCAGCCUGCUACCGAUGCCUGCUAAGAAUCCCUGUAGUGUACUCCAUACUCUUGACCAUCAAUGGCUGGUAGAAUGGGGAAAUGAAGUUUAACCUACAAAGGUUCCUGUUGAGAGUGGGAGACAUGAAUUGCAAAUCAAAGAAAUAGAACACCUUACGAUUCUUGAAGCUAAAAGACUCCCCACUGUAUUCCAUGCUUGGUGAGGUCAGCCAGGUCAGUGAGAGUGAGCUUGGGUUAGGUAAUGGAUGAAAAUAUCUACAUAUUUAUUUACUGGCUUAUUCACCAAACUUUUAGUGAAUUAAAUCAGCAUAGUAAAAAUGUAGUAAAAUAAUUGCGGUUUUGAAGAAAUUCUACACUAUAGUCACGGCUUGGCUAUAUUUGUCUAUAUUUUGACAUUCAGAUUUAAUUUGCUACAAUUCUUAGUUUUACAAUGUAUAAAAACCUCCCAACUAACAACAACAUACUCCUGAACGGCAAGUACUUGCCAAAGACAAAUGGUGUCAAUUUCCUAUACAAACUGUUUGCUUUUAAAGAAAUGUUAAUUAUUUUCAUAUAUUUUUUAAAAUAAAUAAACAUCUCAAAGUAUGGCAUCUAAAAACAAAUAUCAAAGAAAUCACUAAAGCAAAUUUUAAACCAAAUUCAGUUUUUUGCUAGCGAAUUAAAUUCUGACAUAUCAAUGAAUCACUGAUUAUAGUUUUGAAAAGCAAAUAAUUGUAUUGGUUUUGAAGGGGGUUGUACACUGAGCAGAUGGAAGUCUAUUCAAUUAAGAAAUGUAUAAUUACUCUACAUGUUGGCUGUAUUUUGCAGCAACAAAUAAAUUGGUUUAUGUUGGCUCUUUGACUACCAGUCUCUUAAAUAUGCGCAUACAUGUACAGUAUGUGUGUGUGUGUGUAUAUAUAUAUAUAUAUAUAUAUAUAUAUAUAUAUAUAUAUAUAUAUAUUCCUAACCCUAGAGUGCUAAACACACCACUUAGGUGGUUCCCCCCCCCCCAUCAUCCCCCUAUAAAAGUUUAAAACUCACCUUAUUUACAGCGCUGCGUGAGUCCGCCAGCACUAGCUCCGCCCCCUUUGUGACAUCGAAAUGGACGAUUGUUAGCCAAUCCAAUGCUUCACGGGGUGGGGCCAAAUGCCGUUUUGGCCAAUCAGGACCUGCUCAUAGAGAUGCAUUGAAUCAAUGCAUCUCUAUUAGGAAAAUUCAGCGUCUCAUGCAGAGCGUGGGGACACUGAACAGCGGGGCUACUUACUGUGCAGCCCUGAGCCAGGAAGCAUCUCCAGUGGCCAUCUGAGGAGUGGCCACUUGGAGGUGUUCCCAGAGGAAAUGUAAACACUGCCUUUUCUCUGAAAAGCCAGUGUUUUCAUUAAAAUGCCUGAAGGCAAUGAUUAUACCCACCAGAACAACUACAUUAAGCUUUAGUUGUUCUAGUGACUAUAGUGUCCCUUUAACAAAAGGUUUUACCCCAAAUGUUUGAAGGCCGUGCCUGAUCGCCAAUUGUAGCCUUGGCCUAAGAAAAGACGUAGAGGAGCAAAGUGAUCGGGUGCUGUCUUCCAAACUAUUAAACAGUUUAAGUCCUUAAAGUAAGACGGCAUCUGGGAUCUUCUUGACUAUAACAACUUCAUUACUUUAGGCGGAUUAUCUAAAAUGCAAGAUUAUUCACUAAAAAAUAAAUUGUAGAGAGUUCAAAAAUUGAGGGAACAAUAGCUAAUUUGAAAAAGUUUUUAGCUCAGUUACUAGUCCCAGCAUUUAACAUUCACUCCUAAAAAUGUCUCCAAAUCUUGCUAAAUGUGCUACUUAAGCAGAAUGUCCUUUAGUUUUAGUAUUGGUGGAAUAUGUUAAGCAAGCAAAGCAAUUAGUGUUUUCCUAAUUACAUACAUGUCUACCAUUAAGUAUGUUGGUCACUGAAAGCGAUUCUCUAGAGACUAGUUAGAAAAGUAUCAAUCCAAGGUGGGUGAAUAAUUUAUAAAUCCAGAUCUCACUGCAAUCUAUAUAAUGACUCACCAUUUUGACAUGAAACAUUAACAAGUUACUUAUCUUUUACAAGGCCAGAUGGUUCUUUGCUGAAACGUUUGUCCCUUCAACAGAAAUUUAGAAAACAUUAUCUUUACCAGAUCCAAAGACUGAACUUUAUUGAAACUAAAUGAAAAUGAAAUCCUUUAAGUAUUUAAAAUACCCAAAAGUUAGACCGUUGAUUUGAGUUGUGGACAUGGGUAGUAUAUGGUGGAUAUUUUGGUGACUACACUGUGGCCUAUUUAAUUAGUAAACCAUUUAGAACAAAAACAUAUUUUACACAAAUUCUUAAACACAUUAGCUAAAGGUUGAACAUAUUAGGGUGAAUUUUAGAAUUCUGUGAUACACUUAUACACAUUGCUCUGCAAUGCACUCAUACACACCUAGCUUUACUGAUACACAACACAGAUAUCGGAGCUAUUAGAAGAGGUGGAAAGAGGAUAUUGGAUUUUGAUCCCAGAUAUAGUGUUCUAUAGAGCAUAAAGUUGUGUUCUGCAGUAGAGAGAGAUUCUUUAUGUGGAUGCAUGACCAAAAUAAUUUGUAUUCGAGUUCUAGGCUUGAUUGUGGGGUGAUUACUGUCCAUGUUUACUCAGCAGUAGUAGGUUAAAGGUAGGGAAACUCUUGACCGUUUUGAUCUGUCAUCGGGGAUUAGGGGUGGAACCUUAGUACAAUACCCUGGGUGCAGAUCAUCUCCUUCCCAUAUAUUCUUGGCACAGUAACUCCAAGGGAUGACAUAGAUAUCACUCCCUCAACUUCUGGGAUACUGCAAACCUGCAUUUACAUGGAGAGGCCUGUUUCAUUGUAGCUAUACGAAUCUGUCUCUACAAAUCAGUGUCAGAGAAGCAACAUUGAGUUAAAUAAUCUAAGGUAUUUCGAUUAUUGAUUCUAAAACUUUAUAUGUUUGCACAAUGUUUAUUUAGUUCGUUAAUAAACCUAAAUUAUAUUUUUUAGAAUGAAUAACAAAGCAUGUAUCAUGGGAUUUCUAACGUAAUGUACGGAAAUUAUAGUACACAUAAGACCUUUUGCAGUAACAUAGGAAGUAGAAAGCAGACAGAUGGCAGAUGAUGAGUCCCAUUCAGGACUAUAAAACACUGUAGCAGGUGGGUAUUUUCUAAGCAGCGAAUUAGCUUUUCUUAUGUUAAUUCUGGUUUUAAACGCAUUAACUUUAAAGCACUGAGUGGACAAAUUCAGGUACAUGUAUCUCGCUGACCUUAAAUGGAGACAGAGCAGAUCAAAAUUAAUAACUAUACUAUAAAAGGUUCAGUAGUGAUAUUUAUAUUAAACAAUGUAUCUGAAAUGUUUGGAACAGUUAUUGAAUUGGCCUCUAACUUUUUUUGGUAAAAAUGUAUUUUGAAAUAAUUUCUAUUUUGCCACAUGGCUUCAUUCAUUACAGCACAAGAUCAUUACAAUGCCAGUCAUUUGCGUACAUGUUUUUAUAGCAUGGGGCUCAGCCGUGUGCCCCAAAUUUGACUGGCAGAUGCAACCUCAUUAUCUUAACUCUUUCAGUGAGAGGAGCAAAGUAAAGCUCUAAGCUGCACUAAUGAAAGGAAACAAAUGAAAGUACAUUUUAAACACAUAAAAGAAAAUUGUGUUUCUAUGAAAAGUGCUUAAAGGGACACUCCAGGCACCCAGACCACUUCUGCCUAUUGGAGUGGUCUGGGUGCCAACUUCCAUCACCCUUAACUCUGCAAGUGUAAUUAUUGCAGUUUUUAUAAACUGCAAUAAUUACCAUGCAGGUUUAAGUCCUCCUUUAGUGGCUGUCUAUCAGACAGCCACUAGAGGGAGUUCCGGGUUCUAAAAAUACAAAAAGGUUUAAACGACGCUGGACGUCCUCACACUAUGCAUGAGGACCUCCAGCGUUGCCGGAAUCCCCAUAGGAAAGCAUUUAAUAAUGCUUUCCUAUGGGGAGGUCUAAUGCGCGUGCGCCCAUUGCCACGCAUGCUCGUUAGGUCUCCCCCACCGGCUAAUGUCGGUGGGGGAGGAGAAGAGGCGGAGCCUGACCCAGCGCCGAGGGACAUCGGCGCUGGAUUCAGGUAAGUCACUGAAGGGGUUUUAACUACUUUAGCAACAUGGGAUAGGGGUGACAGGGAGGAGGGCACUGCAGGAUUCUGCCGUUGCAGGAAAACGGAAUCCCUAACGGUCAUCCUAUAUAUUAAAUUGUCACAGGAAAGAUCAAAGAAGCAAGAUGUGCCUAAAAUUUAAGCAAGUGAUAUGGUUUUCAAAGCCCAACAAAAGUGAAAAUGAAAUUUGACCAGAGCAAAGGAUAAGCAAAGCAGAGUGAGAAUUUCUAAAGCAAAAGCUGGUGCUAUGGGAUAAAAUACUAAAUAAGGAUCAAUAACUAUGAAAGAACCCACAGGUCUCUACAUUUAGCACUCUGCAUCCAGAACAGCACCUGCUUUGUGUUGAUAAAUCUCCCCCAUAUUAUGUAACAUGUGCUUUGGACAGUUUGAGGGACAGUCAAGGCAAGUGGCAGAUCAUAAUCAAUGUAGGCAACUUGUGUUUUGCUCUGGUGACUAGUAUAUUCUAAAAUACAUUUCUAGAAAAAAAUAUUUCAAAAUACACUAACUAAACAGGACUGUGCCAAGUUGUUAAAACUAAAACCUACGGAGUAUUUUUUAUUUAUUUAGUUAUUUUUUAAAUUUAUAUGCAUCGCUGACCCAUUACAACAAGUAAGCAGAUGUUUGAUCUUCCUCUACAGUUCUAGACACAGAAUAAAUGACUAGCCAUUUGUCUCCAAGCUAGGGAAGCAGAAUAAAUGUGAUUGCAUUUACAUGGUGGCCGUUGUAGAAAUCAGCUGUAAUUUAUUGUCCGGACAGAGUCGGAUAGCUUGCGCCCUACAGACGACAUCAAUAGCAUUCAUAACUUACACCAGACAGCAGUGUAAUAACUAUGCAAAUGAAGGACAGAUACAAUUUGCAUUAUUCCUGGAUUGGGGGGGUUAUGGGUGAGUGCAAAGAAAGAAGCAGGUACGAUACGAUGGCAUUAACAAAUGUAAAUGUGGCACACCCACAAAUGCAAUACAUGCCACAUAAUGGCAAAUGGAAAUGAUGAUGCUCUAUGGUAAAAACAGGAUUGAGGUAAAUGUGCUUUCAAAAGAAAUUCCAGUUUUAUGCCAUCUUUAUUCUUUAUCUUGGUUAUUUAGCACAAUGAGAGCCACAUCUAACACUCUUUUUUUGUAGAACUACAAAUCCCAAGGUGCCUCGCUGGUCUAAAACAAGAGUAGAAUUUCUGUUAUGUUAAAGCAGUAGGACCACUGUAGGCUCUGAUAGAAUACAACCUCACAUAUGGUUUGAUUGCUGCUUUGCAGUAUUUGGAGUUUGAUGUCAGCUAAAUUGCAGAUCUCAUGGUUACUGAGGAAUAGACCACAGGGUCUAGGUGUUUUGAAAAUGAAAAGGGAUAUUAGCAGUGAUAGCAAUGAUUUAAAAUGAGGUUCUUCAAUGUAUAGAUCCUGUUCUGUUUUUAUUUAAAAAAUAUUUCUAAAUAAGAAACAAAAGACAAAUCUCGAUAAAUGUGCUGAAGGCCGCAUUCGCAGGCAGAAACAACUCUCCAUGUAAAUAUUNNNNNNNNNNNNNNNNNNNNNNNNNNNNNNNNNNNNNNNNNNNNNNNNNNNNNNNNNNNNNNNNNNNNNNNNNNNNNNNNNNNNNNNNNNNNNNNNNNNNGAGGUAUUGGGGGGCAUUUCUUAAACAGCCACCUUUGUAUUUUCCAAGUAAAAUGCCUCUUAGUUUAAUUAUGC
rnacentral:lncRNA from 1 species